rnacentral:rRNA from 1 species
CUACGGGCGGCUCCAGUGGGGAAUAUUGCACAAUGGGGGAAACCCUGAUGCAGCGACGCCGCGUGAGUGAAGAAGUAUUUCGGUAUGUAAAGCUCUAUCAGCAGGGAAGAAAAUGACGGUACCUGACUAAGAAGCCCCGGCUAACUACGUGCCAGCAGCCGCGGUAAUACGUAGGGGGCAAGCGUUAUCCGGAUUUACUGGUGGUAAAGGGAGCGUAGACGGUGAGACAAGUCUGAAGUGAAAUCCCGGGGCUCAACCCCGGAACUGCUUUGGAAACUGCCUGACUAGAGUGCAGGAGAGGUAAGUGGAGUUCCUAGUGUAGCGGUGAAAUGCGUAGAUAUUAGGAGGAACACCAGUGGCGAAGGCGGCUUACUGGACUGUAACUGACGUUGAGGCUCGAAAGCGUGGGGAGCAAACAGGAUUAGAUACCCUAGUAGUC